rnacentral:rRNA from 1 species
UACGGAGGGUGCAAGCGUUAUCCGGAUUCACUGGGUUUAAAGGGUGCGUAGGUGGAUUGGUAAGUCAGUGGUGAAAUCUCUGGGCUUAACUCAGAAACUGCCAUUGAUACUAUCAGUCUUGAAUACUGUGGAGGUUAGCGGAAUAUGUCAUGUAGCGGUGAAAUGCUUAGAUAUGACAUAGAACACCAAUUGCGAAGGCAGCUGGCUACACAAAUAUUGACACUGAGGCUCGAAAGCGUGGGGAUCAAACAGG